UAGCUCCCAUACUAUUUGGAUUUUUGAAACAUCAUCAUCUUAGUAAAGUUAGAGGUUUAUGUUGUUGAUGACUGAACAGGCUGACAAUUUGUAAUCUAAAUAGAAGUUCUUACAAGAGGAUUAGCUGAGGUAUGCUGCCUGACUUUCCUUCUUAUAUUAACUUCUUUAAGUUUAGCCUCAUCGUUCUGACAACUUUUCGUUGAUCAUUCUGUACCCUUCCUACUUACAAAAGCUCAUAUGACUAUCUUGUUGCUAUAACUUAUGAGAAAUUUAAGGUGCUCAGAUUAACUAAAGAUAUCCUAUUAGUUACGAGCACCAUAAAAUUCUCCAUGACUUUGUUUCAAUUGCUUCAGGUCACUAACAAAAUAAAAUAUGCUACAGAAAAUUAUAAUCUUCAUCCGCUCUUCCUGAAUUUCACAAAGGUGCACAUAUUUUAACACUCUGAUUUCAGAGAUGUCUUGAAGACGAAAUGAAGAGGCCGAGCAUUGAGGGUUUGGUACAGACACGUUUUUACCUGUUGAUGCAGUGCAUUGAGUGUAAGCUAGGUAAUGAAACAUACAUAGUUUGAUGAUUUCUUGAUGGAUCAUAAAGCCCCGGAAAUUUUAACAAUUUCGAUUUAAGUUGUGCUUUGUGUCGAUCAAUUAAGGACAUUGAGAUUUGGACCUCAUAUUGUUUGUUUUUGGAUGACGGUAAACACGAAAAAUGUCAUUUCGAAAGUAAAGAGUUAUAAUUAUUCCAUAUCGUGUUAA